rnacentral:lncRNA from 1 species
GGGUGAUGGGAGCUGGCAGCUGGCAGCUGGCAAGCUGGCAAGGCAAGGUGUCCGUCCCCCUUCUAGGCAGAGCUGUGUGUGCACGUGUGUGUGCGCGUGCGCGUGUGUAUGUGUGCAUGCAUUGAGCUCCUUGACAUUUACAGCGUUUGGUGAGUCAGCAGCUGGAGCCUUGCAACCAGCCCUGUGUCACAACAUUAUCAGAGACUUGAGGAAACUGGAUGGAGUUCAGAGAGGAGCAGCAAGUACGAUUAAAGGGCUUGGAGGGAUUAAGGGAUUGAUUUAUGAGGAAAGAUGAAAAGAACUUAAUGUGCGCUGCUUGACUAAGUGGGUACAUGAUAAUAGCCUGCAAAUAUCUGAAGGGUAUAAACACCGGAGAGGGAGAGGAAUUAGCACAGGGUGAGGAAACUGAUCCAGGAAUAAUGGGGGAAAUUAACAAGGGGAGGAUGGAGUGCAUUGGCACAGCAUUAGCAGGGAUGUGGCCUUCUUCAGUCUUUCCCUUUCAGAAAUUUGCAGUGGGGGAGGUGAGUUGGCUUGGGGCUAUCAAACUGUAGGAGGUGCUGUGGAUUCUCCUAAUACGGGUGGGUAGAGGCAGAACGUUUGCGUGUCAACCGUGAUCAGGACCUAGCCUAGGAGCUGUGCUGACCUGUACAACCAGGCUGGGAACCUGGAGACAACAAGGAAGGGUGGGGUUGGAAAUGAGGGAAUGGAGAUGGUCUGCAUGAUGAGAUCUAGGCCCUUUCUUAAAUCUCUCCUCCUCCUGGUAGUUUUUCUGGGCUGAUGCAACAGACACUGCCAUUCUGUCUGUUGGGUGUCCGAUCUUGCUUGAGAUGUGAACUUUCUAUCCCCAUUGUCUUCCAGUUUUCCAGUUACCUUCCUGUCCCCAAUUCCUAAAAUGCAUCUGUCCUCAACAUGUCUGUGAUGUUUAUUUCUUUCUGUGGAUCUCAGAUUGAGAGACCAUAUGUGGACUGCAAAGAGGAUAGGAAAGGAAGUCAGGCUGCCAGGGGGGUAGAAUCUGGCUUCAUUCUUCCCAGCUGGGUGAAUGGGCCCAGUUACUCAUGAAUUCUCUGGGCCUGAGUUUUCUCUUCUGCAAAAAAGAGAUGAUGGCAGGAGUCUUCUGGUGAUUCCCAUGCUUCCUUGAAAUACUGUGUCAGUUGCCUUUUUUUUUGUGACUGCGACCAAAAUACCCUAUAAGAGCAACUUAGAGGAAGAAAAGUUUAUUUCAGGUCAUGAUUUCAGAGGUUUAGUCUAUGGCCGGCUGAUUCCAUUACUGUGGGCCAGAGGUGAGGCAGAACUCCAUGGCAGAAGGACAUGGUGGAGAAAAGCAGCCCAGGACAUGAUAGCCAGGAAGCAGAGCUUGAGUGCAAGGAGCCAGGGAUAAUAUAAUUCCCAAGGGCACGCCCCAGUGACCUAGUUCCUCCAGCCAAGCAUUACCUGCCUAUAGUUACCACCCAUUAGACCAUUCAAAUUACUAAUCCAC